rnacentral:rRNA from 1 species
CCUACGGGUGGCAGCAGUGGGGAAUAUUGGACAAUGGGCGAAAGCCUGAUCCAGCCAUGCCGCGUGUGUGAAGAAGGCCUUCGGGUUGUAAAGCACUUUCAGUGGGGAAGAAAGCCUUGGGGCUAAUACCCUCGAGGAAGGACAUCACCCACAGAAGAAGCACCGGCUAACUCCGUGCCAGCAGCCGCGGUAAUACGGAGGGUGCGAGCGUUAAUCGGAAUUACUGGGCGUAAAGCGCGCGUAGGCGGUCUGAUAAGCCGGUUGUGAAAGCCCCGGGCUCAACCUGGGAACGGCAUCCGGAACUGUCAGGCUAGAGUGCAGGAGAGGAAGGUAGAAUUCGCGGUGUAGCGGUGAAAUGCGUAGAGAUCGGGAGGAAUACCAGUGGCGAAGGCGGCCUUCUGGACUGACACUGACGCUGAGGUGCGAAAGCGUGGGUAGCAAACAGGAUUAGAUACCCGUGUAGUC